rnacentral:tRNA from 2 species
GAGCCGCUAGCUCAGCUGGUAGAGCACAACACUUUUAAUGUUGGGGCCAUGGGUUCGAAUCCCAUGCGGCUCA